CUGCGGAGGUCAUUACAGUUAAGUUUUAGUUUCACUUGACCAGCGCUUAAUUGCGCGGUCUAUGGAACGAACAAAACCUUACACACUGUGUUUUUGUUUUUUUGAAAACUUGCUUUGGUUUGGCGCAAGCUGGGCCAAAGAUUAACACCUAAACUUCAAUUUUUAAUUGAAUUGUUUUUUAAUUUUAUUGUCAAUUUUGUUUGAUUAAUUUCAAAAAUAAUCUUCAAAACUUUCAACAACGGAUCUCUUGGUUCUCGCAUCGAUGAAGAACGCAGCGAAAUGCGAUAAGUAAUAUGAAUUGCAGAUUUUCGUGAAUCAUCGAAUCUUUGAACGCACAUUGCGCUCUUUGGUAUUCCAGAGAGCAUGCCUGUUUGAGCGUCAUUUCUCCCUCAAACCUUUGGGUUUGGUAUUGAGUGAUACUCUUAGUUGAACUAGGCGUUUGCUUGAAAUAUAAUGGCAGGAGUGUACUGGAUAGUACGAACUUGGUUUAUUCAAUGUAUUAGGUUUAUCCAACUCGUUGAAAUGACUGGGCAAGUAAAUUUCUAGUAAUUUGGCUCGGCCUUAUAACAACAAACAUAAGUUUGACCUCAAAUCAGGUAAGAAUACCCGCUGAACUUAAGCAUAUCAA
rnacentral:rRNA from 1 species